UACGUAGGGGCCAAGCGUUGUCCGGAUUUAUUGGGCGUAAAGAGCUCGUAGGCGGUUCGGCAAGUCGAAUGUGAAAUCUCCACGCUCAACGUGGAGGGGUCAUUCGAUACUGCCGUGACUUGAGUACGGUAGGGGAGUGUGGAAUUCCCGGUGUAGCGGUGAAAUGCGCAGAUAUCAGGAAGAACACCCGUGGCGAAGGCGGCUCUCUGGGACGGUACUGACGCUGAGACGCGAAAGCGUGGGGAGCGAACAGG
rnacentral:rRNA from 1 species